rnacentral:rRNA from 1 species
AUGUUGCUCUCGGCCUCGGUGAACUCCAUCUCAUCCAUGCCCUCACCGGUGUACCAGUGCAAGAAAGCCUUCCUCCUGAACAUGGCAGUGAACUGCUCGCUCACACGGCGGAACAUCUCCUGGAUGGAGGUGGAGUUGCCAACAAAGGUGGACGACAUUGACAGGCCUGUGGGAGGGAUGUCACACACGCUUGACUUCACAUUGUUGGGUAUCCACUCAUCAACUUCCUUUGUGCUCAUCUUCCCACGGAACAUGGCAGAGGCUGUGAGGUACCGGCCGUGA